UGGGGAAUAUUGCACAAUGGGCGCAAGCCUGAUGCAGCCAUGCCGCGUGUAUGAAGAAGGCCUUCGGGUUGUAAAGUACUUUCAGCGGGGAGGAAGGUGUUGAGGUUAAUAACCUCAGCAAUUGACGUUACCCGCAGAAGAAGCACCGGCUAACUCCGUGCCAGCAGCCGCGGUAAUACGGAGGGUGCAAGCGUUAAUCGGAAUUACUGGGCGUAAAGCGCACGCAGGCGGUCUGUCAAGUCGGAUGUGAAAUCCCCGGGCUCAACCUGGGAACUACAUUCGAAACUGGCAGGCUAGAGUCUUGUAGAGGGGGGUAGAAUUCCAGGUGUAGCGGUGAAAUGCGUAGAGAUCUGGAGGAAUACCGGUGGCGAAGGCGGCCCCCUGGACAAAGACUGACGCUCAGGUGCGAAAGCGUGGGGAGCAAACA
rnacentral:rRNA from 1 species